CGCAGAACGUAGCCGGACCCAAGGGUUUAUUUACCACAUUGGCUGGUGUGUCCGUCUGCUGUGCAACCACAUUUAUCUCCGGUGAGAUAAACCCCAUUUAUCUCCUAGCAAGUCCCUGGCGCACAGUGAGCUCUGAUAAAAAGCAGCCCAUCUACCUCCUCCAACCAGACCCAGCUAGCCCAGAUGCGUAAUUCUCCAUGACUUGUAACACCUCAAUACCUUUGUAUCUGCUGUUCCAUCUACCUGGAGAGCCUUUCCAGGGAGCUAGAGGAGGGAGAGAUUCCUAUGAACUGAAAAGGGAGGAUACUGGGAUGAGGAUGCUUGUAAUGUGGUGCACACUGAUUACCAGAGCACAGCUGAGAUACUGUUGGGCCCUGUCUCCUCCCAAAGCACACAUUACAUCCCAGGGUGCACACCAGUAAAUGGUCAGAUUCUGGACAUGG